UGGUAUCUUCCAUUGUACCAAGGUUCUUUCCUCACGGCAAGCAUAGAGUGACAGUCUUAUGCCAACUUUCUUGUUUGCGUUGAGCAUUGGGUCAACGAUUACCUCUAUCCAUCCAUUUUUACCACCAGUUUUGGCAUAGGGCAUCUACCUUUCUAAUAAGAACAUCAAACCCCACCGUCCUGUUUUGCAUAUAUGCACAUCAGUUUGGUAUCUGAGAGCCUCAUGGUUCUUGAGCACAUAAUUUUCUUGUUGGGCUUUUUUGUUCUUGUUGGAUGUUUCUUCUUUUAGGAACACUUCUAUUUGCCACACAAAAGGUGGGAUGUCGAGAGAAUUUAUGAUAAUGAGAAGGCACGACUAAAUAUUGAACAGAGAACAAAACAAUAUGAAAAACAUGCUAAAAAGGGGCGACACAAAAUGAUCUUUGAGCCUGGAGAUUGGGUCUGGUUACACAUGAAAAAGAAAAAUUUCCAGGACAUAGACAUUCCAAACUACUUCCAGGAGGAGAUGGUCCUUUCGAAGUACUUGAGCGUAUCAACGACAAUGCCUAUAAGCUGGAUCAACCAGGUAAGUAUAAUGUGUGCACCAUUUUCAAAGUUACUAAUUUAUGUCCUAUUGAUUUAGGCACUUAUUUGAGGACAAAUCCUUUUCAAGAGGAGGGGAAUGAUGAAAUGAUGGCAUUGAUGGCAAUGACAUGACUUCAAGAGAAGAUUUAAUUCAACUUUCAUGUGGGCAAACUUCCAGAUGUCGUGCAAAGAGGGUGAAAGAAGCUCUUAAUAGAUUAGUCCAGGAGGCUUGUACUCAAGACAAUUCAUGGGGAUCUAAGAAGAAAGAGGCACAAAGAUUUGUCAACUUAUUUCAAGUCCGAGGAUAAAGAAGUUAUAUUAUUAUUGCUAGGUAUUUUGUAUUUUUA